rnacentral:tRNA from 1 species
CGGGCUGUGGCGCAGCUUGGUUAGCGCGUCGGUCUGGGGGACCGAAGGUCCCGAGUUCAAAUCUCGGCAGCCCGACAA